CAGCGCCGCAUCCCGGGAGCGGGCCCCACGCUCAGCCUGGCGGUUCGAGGCGAAACCCCGCGCGUGCUCACCCCCUUCCGUGCAGAGAGCGAGACGUGGACAGGCGCCGCGUAGAUCCGGGGGAGGCUCCCAGCUGGAACCAGCCUUCGGGCCGCGCCACGGCCCCUCCCUCCCGCGCCGCGGUCGGAAGAGCACCCGCGUCCCCGGGCCCCGCUUCCAGCCUCGAGUGCUGCGGCGGGCAGGCUCGCAGCCGCGGGCGGAGCCGACGACAGGCCUCCACCGGUCUCAGGAUGAGCCAGGAGUUUCGUUUUGGCUCGGGAUUGUGCGGGCACCCUGCGCAUCCGGGCUCGGCUGUUGGGGUGGGGCCCAUCUGCAAAGGUGAGGAGGCAUCGGGAAGGCCCGCGGGCUGCGCCUUGGCACGUUUGGAGUCUUCUCUCGCCUCUGCCUGCUGCGCCUUUGUCCUCGGGGUUCUUGGAGGCCAGGCUCAAACGCACACUAGUUUCACGGGCCUCACCCUCCCAGCCUUCUUCUCACGGGUUUCUGCGCCAUCACCCCCACCUCUCAGUAUCUUUUUGCAUUAGGGGUCCCACAGAACCCUGAAGGAAUGUCAAGGUGAGCUUCACCCCUUGCUCUUGGCAAAGCCAAAAUAAGGUUAGAACUCCGUUUCUGGAUUCCCAUUAGAAUCCCCCCCCCCCCUCGUUUCCAGACUCCCAGUCCAGCACUGUUUACAUUAACGCAGUGGGUGUUCCCAGGAAUCCUGGCUCAGGAGCUACCCUCUAAAAGAGGGUGUCGGUGCCAAAUGGGUUUGUCAAGGUGCUAUCUCGCCUUCUUGGAGAUUCACGAUGCUCAUUAGCAUACCAAAGGCUCUGAGAAGUCCUGCUGUAAAAGAAGCUCAAGUGAUUUGGUUUACAGUGUUAACUGCCUCUGGACCUGGACCAGUUACUUUUUGCCACCUAAGACUUCCGAGCAUCCCUGUGCUGGCUUGGCUGUCAUUCUUUCCUAAGGGAUCCAACCCAUUGGCUGUGGUAUGAUUGAAGAUCUGGGGUGCUCCUCUUUCCUAGGGAAUUUCUCUAGCAGAGGGAGGGCUUGCCUCAGUGGGGGAGAAGAUAGCCAUCCCUGCCAGGCCCCGGAGAGACCUGGGAGUCGGUAGAUCGGAACAUUGCUCUACAUUGUUUGAAAAAUGAAGUCAAGGUUAUCCAAGUGGUUACCUACUCAAGAGGAACAUUAUCUGUAUGAGAUGCUGGCAUUGACUGUGAGCAACUGGCAGGAGUGGGUCUCAUUCGCCAAAGAGAGAAGAACACUCCGAGUUGGGGUGAACAGCUGGCCCAGUCUCUGUAAGGUUUCCAGGUACAGAGAUUCCCAGGGCUCGCUUCCCUGGGCAGUGGACCCUGUUCUGGCCUGGGCCAGCAGAGAGGCUGCCGAGUGGGGAGCGCGGAUGACCCCUGCCCAGCAGCUUCCCUUCAGCAUUAUCCAGUGGAAGAUCCAAGAUGCGUAAAGAUUCAUUUUACAUUGACACAUGAGAAAUUCUGAAUCUCUUUAUGGUGUGCCUUGGGCCCAAGAUUCCAGACACCUGGAACUGAGCCGUGCACCUCUGUGCCCUGAACAGCGGGCUUUAGCUCCAGCUUUUGUCCCUUUUUUCUCUUUCCAGAUCACCAUUGAAAUUGCAUCCUCAGCUCAGAACCAGCUCAGAACUGAGGAUCACUUCUUAGUCCCCCAGCUGAUGGUACUCUGUCUGUGGUCAGGUGACCUUACUCAGGAGUAGACCUCUCCUUGGCCUUCAUGGUACCUUAUCUCUCCAGAUGUGCCUGAAACAUUCCAGAGCUCACCGGCUCUUCUAGAUGUGCCUUCCUGCUUGGUCUUCAGCUGCUUCUCUAGAUGUGAGAAGGGCGUGCAAAACAGCCCCCACACUCAUCCCCUCCUCCCCUGAGACCCUGUACCAUAGGAAUGGCCACUUGACCUACUGGCCCAGAAUUUUUGGAUACUGGAGGCAGUCUCAUUGGCCUCCCUCGUUAGAAUCCGGGACUCAGUCCUACUUGAGACCAUUUUGGUUCUACCAGUGCAAAAAUCUAGAACUGAUUGUGGAUCUAAGAGAGGAUUUUUCUAGUGUUCUACAAAGGCCAAAAGAGAGGGUGAGAGUGGGAGGGGCCAGUAGCCAGAGGGGACCUAUGUGCCUCAUUUAAUAGUUUAGUGGUGAUUACUAAUUUGCUUUUCUGAAUAAAGUUUGGUUUGUCUGA